rnacentral:tRNA from 1 species
GCCCUCGUAUCACAGUGUAGUGAGUGUCACCCGUAAUGACAAGCUCGUCUGUUCGAUCCAGGCCGCGGGCA